AGCGAACGCUGGCGGCAGGCUUAACACAUGCAAGUCGAGCGGGCGUAGCAAUACGUCAGCGGCAGACGGGUGAGUAACGCGUGGGAACAUACCUUUUGGUUCGGAACAACACAGGGAAACUUGUGCUAAUACCGGAUAAGCCCUACGGGGGAAAGAUUUAUCGCCAAUAGAUGGGCCCGCGUCUGAUUAGCUAGUUGGUG
rnacentral:rRNA from 1 species